UACGGAGGGUGCAAGCGUUAUCCGGAUUCACUGGGUUUAAAGGGUGUGUAGGCGGGCUAUUAAGUCAGUGGUGAAAUCUCCGGGCUCAACCCGGAAACUGCCAUUGAUACUAUUAGUCUUGAAUUCUGUUGAGGUAGGCGGAAUAUAUCAUGUAGCGGUGAAAUGCUUAGAUAUGAUAUAGAACACCGAUUGCGAAGGCAGCUUACUAAGCAGAUAUUGACGCUGAGGCACGAAAGCGUGGGGAUCAAACAGG
rnacentral:rRNA from 1 species